rnacentral:lncRNA from 1 species
AGACUCACCCGUAAUCUGGGUGGGCACAAUCUAAUCAGCUACCAGCUCUGCUAGAAUGUAAACAGGCAGAAAAAUGUGCAAAGAGAGACUGGCCUAGCCUCUCGGACUACACCUUUCUCCCCUGCUGGAUGCUUCCUGCCCUCUAACAUCAGACUCCAAGUUCUUCAGUUUUGGAACUCAGAUUGGCUCUCCUUGCUCCUCAGCCUGCAGACGGCCUAUUGUGGGACCUUUUGAUUGUGUCAUGUGAAAGACUGUGUAUAAUUCAGAAGAGAUAUUUCUACGGUGAAAAAAAAUACCCCAUAUUUAAAUCAAUUCAAGUUUCUUCUUGACAUCUAGGCUGUAUCUAGGACACAUCUGGACAUCUGGAAACAUCCAAAUUUGACUGACUUUUCCAGUUUUCAGCAGAACAUUUAGUAAAUAAAAGAAUAAGAAAUUUGUACUAAUCAUAUUUUUUUUUUAAAAAAGUCAACAGCACUUCAGUGGGGCUGGUAUCCUCAUGGCCUGGCCUUUAUUUCUUGCCACAUGUCAGACUUACCCAUGUUGGUGGAGGAGGCUGACAUUCAAAGGGU